UUUUCUAUAAAGUAAUGACAUUUCAAUAAACAAAUAGAGAAUUUUGAAUGAAUGUAGUGGAAAAGUGGAUUAAACUGCUAACCGACUACACUAAACUAUUUUUGGAGCGGAUAAUAAACCGUCACGUACCAAAUUUUUUUACGUUAAAAAGUUUAUAAUUAAUCCACCGCGGAAUUGUUCUAUUUUUUUUUUCAGUCCGUACUACUGAUUAUAGUUUAUGAAUGGUUAACGAAAAGCGGUCCGUCCUAAUCGCCGCAACCAUUUGAAUCCUUUGUUAGUACUAAAAGUUUGUGAUUAUGACUAAAAAAAGGUCUAGUUUGAAAAAUGGUU
rnacentral:sRNA from 1 species